rnacentral:tRNA from 1 species
GACCCGGUAGCUCAGUUGGUAGAGCAACGGACUUUUAAUCCGUAGGUCGUGGGUUCGAACCCCACCCGGGUCA